CCUACGGGAGGCAGCAGUGAGGAAUAUUGGUCAAUGGCCGGAAGGCUGAACCAGCCAUGCCGCGUGAAGGUCAGUGCCCUAUGGGCGUUAAACUUCUUUUGUGCGGGAGCAAUAAUGGUCACGUGUGGCCAGACGAGAGUACCGUACGAAUAAGCAUCGGCUAACUCCGUGCCAGCAGCCGCGGUAAUACGGGGGAUGCAAGCGUUAUCCGGAUUUAUUGGGUUUAAAGGGUGCGUAGGCUGUGAGGUAAGUCAGCGGUGAAAUGCCCCCGCUCAACGGGGUGAAGUGCCAUUGAUACUGCCUGGCUGGAAUGCGGAUGCCGUGGGAGGAAUGUGUGGUGUAGCGGUGAAAUGCAUAGAUAUCACACAGAACACAGAUUGCGAAGGCAUCUCACGAAUCCGCGAUUGACGCUGAUGCACGAAAGCGUGGGUAUCAAACAGGAUUAGAUACCCGGGUAGUC
rnacentral:rRNA from 1 species